GACGAACGCUGGCGGCGUGCUUAACACAUGCAAGUCGAACGGAAAGGCCCUGCUUUUGUGUGGUGCUCGAGUGGCGAACGGGUGAGUAACACGUGAGUAACCUGCCCUUGACUUUGGGAUAACUUCAGGAAACUGGGGCUAAUACCGGAUAGGAGCUCCUGCUGCAUGGUGGGGGUUGGAAAGUUUCGGCGGUUGGGGAUGGACUCGCGGCUUAUCAGCUUGUUGGUGGGGUAGUGGCUUACCAAGGCUUUGACGGGUAGCCGGCCUGAGAGGGUGACCGGGCACAUUGGGACUGAGAUACGGCGCAGACUCCUACGGGAGGCAGCAGUGGGGAAUAUGGCACAAUGGGCGGAAGCCUGAUGCAGCAGCGCCGCGUGCGGGAUGACGGCCUUCGGGUUGUAAACCGCUUUCGCCUGUGACGAAGCGUGAGUGACGGUAAUGGGUAAAGAAGCACCGGCUAACUACGUG
rnacentral:rRNA from 1 species